AUUGAACGCUGGCGGCAGGCCUAACACAUGCAAGUCGAGCGGAUGAAGGGAGCUUGCUCCUGGAUUCAGCGGCGGACGGGUGAGUAAUGCCUAGGAAUCUGCCUGGUAGUGGGGGAUAACGUCCGGAAACGGGCGCUAAUACUGCAUACGUCCUGAGGGAGAAAGUGGGGGAUCUUCGGACCUCACGCUAUCAGAUGAGCCUAGGUCGGAUUAGCUAGUUGGUGGGGUAAAGGCCUACCAAGGCGACGAUCCGUAACUGGUCUGAGAGGAUGAUCAGUCACACUGGAACUGAGACACGGUCCAGACUCCUACGGGAGGCAGCAGUGGGGAAUACUGGACAAUGGGCGAAAGCCUGAUCCAGCCAUGCCGCGUGUGUGAAGAAGGUCUUCGGAUUGUAAAGCACUUUAAGUUGGGAGGAAGGGCAGUAAGUUAAUACCUUGCUGUUUUGACGUUACCAACAGAAUAAGCACCGGCUAACUUCGUG
rnacentral:rRNA from 1 species